rnacentral:pre_miRNA from 1 species
GUUCACCUGUGUGUAGAUGGUGUUCAGUACCAAGAACAGGCAUGUUCAUCUGCGUGUGGAUGGUGUUCAGCACCAAGGAUAGAUCAUAUUAGAU